rnacentral:lncRNA from 1 species
AUGGCAUCCAACAAGUCCUCCAUAGCUUCCCCUGCUCUCAUGUUCCUAGCCGUGGCAGCACUCAUAUUGGCCACUUCUGUGCGGGCCCAGACACCCGCUCCUACGCCGGCACCGACUCCAGCUCCAGCGCCGGUACCGGCCCCUACACCUACGCCUACUCCAGCACCAACCCCGACUCCGACGCCUGCACCGACGCCAGCACCCACUCCAGCUCCUACGCCGGCACCGACUCCAGCUCCAGCGCCGGUACCGGCCCCUACACCUACGCCUACUCCAGCACCAACCCCGGCUCCGACGCCUGCACCGACUCCAGCACCAACUCCAGCUCCGACGCCAGCUCCGACGCCAGCACCCACUCCAGCUCCGACGCCAGCACCUGUGCCCACGCCUGCCCCGGCACCAUCCCAAGGUCCUUGUCCUUCUGGCUUCCCUAACCUCGCCGCGCUUGUAUUAGCGAAGCCGGUGUACCUUAGACGCGGUAUGGUCCUGACUCUCUUCCCUAAGCCGGUCCCCCAAGGCACCAGCACCAAAGUAU